rnacentral:rRNA from 1 species
UACGGAGGGGCCAGCGUUGUUCGGAAUCAUUGGGCGUAAAGGGCGCGUAGGCGGCCGAUCAAGUCCGACGUGAAAUUCCUCGGCUCAACCGAGGGCCUGCGUCGGAUACUGCUCGGCUUGAGUCCCGGAGAGGGUAGUGGAAUUCCCAGUGUAGCGGUGAAUGCGUAGAUACUGGGAGGAACACCGGUGGCGAAGGCGGCUACCUGGACGGGUACUGACGCUGAGGCGCGAAAGCUAGGGGAGCAAACAGG